UGCCCUCUGUGUUCUUGGUCUUGGUGUUCUUUCCAGCUGGAGAAAGGGCUGAAAAAAGAAGAGUGCUUCAGAGGGAGAAGACAGUGGUCCAGAGAGUGCAGGAAGAUCAUGCUGGAAAAUGUCUAGGAUUCCACUGGUGAGCAGAGCAGAGUCCUAAUCAGAGGCCAGGAGGUGAGAACCUUUGCCCACCAUGUCUUCUGGCAUGAUUAUAGCAUCAACACCCGCCCCAAACGAUGGCCCCAACUGCAGCUUCUGGAGCCUCUGAAACGUUUCCCUAGAGCCAAGAUGUCACCACUCCAAUAGUACUUGCCUGGAUCCACUGAAAUUUCUACUGAACACCUUACAGGGGCUCUUUGAUGUUCCAAGCUCUGUGUUCACUUGUUUUUGCCUUACAAUGGAAGAAGC